rnacentral:rRNA from 1 species
GAUGAACGCUGGCGGCGUGCCUAAUACAUGCAAGUCGAGCGAACGGACGAGAAGCUUGCUUCUCUGAUGUUAGCGGCGGACGGGUGAGUAAAACGUGGAUAACCUACCUAUAAGACUGGGAUAACUUCGGGAAACCGGAGCUAAUACCGGAUAAUAUUUUGAACCGCAUGGUUCAAAAGUGAAAGACGGUCUUGCUGUCACUUAUAGAUGGAUCCGCGCUGCAUUAGCUAGUUGGUAAGGUAACGGCUUACCAAGGCAACGAUGCAUAGCCGACCUGAGAGGGUGAUCGGCCACACUGGAACUGAGACACGGUCCAGACUCCUACGGGAGGCAGCAGUAGGGAAUCUUCCGCAAUGGGCGAAAGCCUGACGGAGCAACGCCGCGUGAGUGAUGAAGGUCUUCGGAUCGUAAAACUCUGUUAUUAGGGAAGAACAUAUGUGUAAUUAACUGUGCACAUCUUGACGGUACCUAAUCAGAAAGCCACGGCUAACUACGUG